CGAGUGAGUUGAAGUGCAUGGGCUGGAAAACAACACCGUCUGUUGUUUGGUCAGGGGAAAAAAAGGGAAAUCCUCGGUUGGGUGUUGGUCUGGUCGCUGAGCAGUUUGGAGCAGUCUGCGAUCACACAGAUUUCGUAUUUCUCCGUGGGUGAGAAAUAUCUGCGUAGAGGAAUCGUGCAGGCCGCGGAGAUCGAGCAGGGGAGAACGAAGGCACGUGAAGGUGCAUGUGAGGUGACAGCUGGGUGAAUUUCUAAUGUGACGCAGCACGCCACAGAAAAGCAUUAUAAGCCACUACCGUUGUUUAUCCAGGGGGUUAAGUGCUCACACCAAUUUAUUUGUACUGUGUUUAAUUAAUUCAUUUAUUUAAUUUUUUGUUACUGUGGGGCUAUCCUUGUAAAGGGAAAAAGGGGAAUUGGCGAA